rnacentral:rRNA from 1 species
UACAGAGGCCUCGAGCGUUAGGCGGAAUCACUGGGCUUAAAGCGUGUGUAGGCGGACUUCUAAGUGCCUUGUGAAAUCCCACGGCUCACCCGUGGAACGGCUGGGCAUACUGGGAGUCUUGAGCCACCUAGGGGCUGCCGGAACAAAUGGUGGAGCGGUGAAAUGCGUAGAUAUCAUUUGGAACGCCAACGGAGAAAGCAGGCAGCUGGGGGUGUGCUGACGCUGAGACACGAAAGCCAGGGGAGCGAACGGG